AAAGAUGGAAAGAUUUCUAAAGGCAUCAGAUCCCAUUUGAUCUCUGAAGCUAAGCAGGGUUAAACUUGGUCAGUACUUGGAUGGGAGACCACCAACAAAUAUUAGAUACGGUAUGCU
rnacentral:rRNA from 1 species